GAAAUCUUCGGCACGGCACGAUAAAUCCGCGUUGGUUGAAUCAGUUCAUCUCCGCCUUCCGCGCACAAAGGAUCUGCUGUAAUAGGCAAUUCUAUUUAUUUGAUCUAGGACAGAACGGUGGCAUGUAGGAGUGAUAUUAGCGGACCCCGUCCGCCACGAAGACCACAAGGUGAAUUCAUACUCUGCGAUAUAUAGACCGUAACGUCAUCGUCGUCGUUAUCACCGUCGUCAUCGUCGGGUUCUGAACAAUGAUCCGUCGAUCGUUUGUCGAUGUCCUAGAUCUUGGCGAAUCGCCGUUCCAAUUAAGGUGUAACAAAACUCGCCCCGACUACGCGAAAGAACCCACAUACGACCCACCACCGCUCAAAUGAUCCGCAGCGAUGCAGCGACGCGUCGCACGUCGUGCCUUCGUCACCGUGGUCGUCGCACCACCCGAAUCUUCGUUCGGUUUGAGAUUUGAGAUUUAAGAUCGAAGGCAGACACACUUUAUUGCCGCGGGUUGUCGAGCGAGCAGGUGGAACACGCGGCUGACGUAGAUAUCCUUAUCUUGAAAAUUCUCACAUUCUCGCGUAUAGAUACAGGGUACCUACGCAUUCGCGCGAUUUACACCGGUGGAGCGAUGAGCGAGCUAGCUUUAUUCUCACAGUGAGACGUUGUCGGAGUGCGCGAUCUCUUUGUUCGAAAACCCCAACCCUAUUCCCCCUUUGCCCCCUUUGCCCCUGCGUCAUUUUCGUACGUACGUGCGUACGUACGACGUACCUAUACCGUAAUAAGCGGAUGAAUAUAGACACAUGUGCCGGAUGUGGGGUCUUCCGUGAACAUCUCGAGCAUGUGGGAGCCGCAGCCUUUGGUGUAGUCACCAUACGAGCACGAGUACUCCGGAAUCAAGCUGCGAGUGAACGUGGAAGCACGCGCGAUGACGCCAACGACCCUGACGUAGGAUUGGGAAGAGAAGCUCCUCUAUUCUCUGGACUCUGGAGUGAGCAGCAGCAGCAGCAACGGCGCGGCGGGAGAAGUUUACAGCGAUGAGGUCUUGAAGCGGUUUGCGCUUCGAGGAACCUCUGGAACCCGUUGCCGUUGUAUGACCUGCGGAAGACUCGGCAUCGCCGUAGGUCUCGUGCAGCAACGAGUUUAACACAGGCUCGAAAUUACUGCACUCUGCCUCGCUGCCUGCUCCCUCAAUUGGUCGGUUUCCACCUGUAAUUCCACCACCCUCUGGUCGCGGGAUCUCGCAACGCUCUUCAUCUCGUGCAACUGCUCGACGUGACCAUGUCAAUUCACUAGCGGUGCAUGAUGUCGGUAGCUUCAAGGGGAACAGCCGCCUGACAAGUUGAAUCGAUUAGUUCAACGCUAUGGUAACCUGUCCUUUGCUCAACAACAGGUCAAUACAUAUUCUACAAAAUGGUUUAUGGUAUGCGAAUAACAUUAUCUGAAAAUUAAUUGUGUUAUUUGGCGAUAAUUCAUCGUCAUUGAACGACGAUCGAAGAAAGAGUGUAAUUUGUGGAACAGUUCAUUUGUCGAGAAGAAAGUCAAUGACCAAUUGAAGUCAGGCAUACAUCCAAAUUAAAAUUCCACGUGCAUACAAUGCGAUGAAAGUGCAAGUGAGAAUCAAGGUUACAACUUUCAGCUAUCUAGUCUGCAAAAUUCCGGAGAUGGCGUUGAAGAAACUUACAAACUAACAAGUCAUUAUGGAAAUAGAUUGUGCUUUUUAUUAUGUGAUUCAAUUAGCUGCUAAUAAAUGUCGGUGCAUUCUGGGUGAACGGUAUUUAUUAUAUACAGAAACCUUUCGCGGUGACGAAAUGCAAAGUGUUUCAAAUAUUUUGAGAUCCUCUUCGUUGUUUCCUUUUGAGUCCGUGGCUUCUUCUUGCGCAGCCAUUUUUUGUGAUUGUUCCGGUAUAACUGGUCACAGAUUGUCUACGGCUCACGACAUGUGUCUUAUGUUAUUCGUUUACGUUUAGGGUAUCAUCUGCUUGACAUUCGGGCACUCGGUUGAUGUGAGUAUAAUUUUUCUGUAUUUCAACGAUUGCAUUUUUUCACACUCCUAUUGAAUCUUUCCACUGUGUUGUGGACCAACUCUGAAUAAAAACGAAACUUUCAUGUGACGAUUGAAUGUCAACACUGAGGGCAACGCGAAGUACUCGCCGCCAUUCCUCCACCUCGUCGUAGAGGUAAUCGGAAUGCAUCGAUCCAAGAAAAUAACGAACUUCUUCAACCAAGAUGUGUAGCCUAAUAUUUCGUUACGUUGCUAGGACUAAAAUCAAUGAGCUAUUCAUCCAGGAUGCAUACGAUCCCCAGCUUAUUGCGGAGUGGGUCGUAAACAAUUUCAUUAACUAACUGUAUACCUUUCACUAUUAAUCAUAAAACCAUGUACGGACUAAACAGGACCAAGAUUGAGUUCAAAGCUGUAAAUUCAAUUGUGAAACUCAAUAUUCUUCAGUCGACAAUAAGAUCAUUGUUGAACGUUGACGGAUCAUCAGUCAACGAUCAUCGUGUUCAACGACUUCUAAUCUUCAGUCAACGUUCGCAU